AUUGAACGCUGGCGGCAGGCCUAACACAUGCAAGUCGAGCGGAUGAAGGGAGCUUGCUCCUGGAUUCAGCGGCGGACGGGUGAGUAAUGCCUAUGAAUCUGCCUGGUAGUGGGGGAUAACGUCCGGAAACGGGCGCUAAUACCGCAUACGUCCUGUGGUAGAAAGUGGGGGAUCUUCGGACCUCACGCUAUCAGAUGAGCCUAGGUCGGAUUAGCUAGUUGGUGGGGUAAAGGCCUACCCAGGCGACGAUCCGUAACUGGGCUGAGAGGAUGAGCAGUCACACUGGAACUGAGAAACGGUCCAGACUCCGACGGGGGGCCGCAGUGGAGAAUAUUGCGCGAUGCGGGAGAGGCUGAUACAGCACUGCCGGGUGUGUGAAGAAGGUCUUCGGAUUGUAAAGCACUGUAAGUUGGGAGGAAGGGCAGUACGUUAACCCCUGGCUGUUUUGACGUUACCAACAGAAUAAGCACCGGCUAACUUCGUG
rnacentral:rRNA from 1 species